UAAUAAUCGUCCACGGUAUCGGUCCAGUCAACCGCGUGGCUUUCGUGCGUAUAGUUCGACGUUACCGUCGCGCCCGUCGCCACCCUCGUCAUCGUCGCGUAAAGUGACAUGAAACACGUUCGAAAAUCGAAAUCUACACUUUAAUACGUAUAUUUCUGGUGCGAUAUCAGUUACUUUACACAGUCGCCGGGAUACCAUACUAGUGUUUCCGAAUAAUAUUCCGUGGUGAUCAAAAAAAAUAUUUUAUGAAAUAAGUACCUACUUACAGGGACAACUACUACAGUCACCGAACAGAUCUAAAAGAGAAUACAACAAUAACAAACAAAAAAAAAA